UGAGUGAUGAAUGAAGCAGUAUGAGGGAGGUGAAUAAUUGAUGUAUAAAGCAGUGUUGAGCAGGUGAAUAAGUGAUUAAUAAAGCAGUAUUGAACAGGUGAAUGAGUGAUGAAUGAAAGUGUUGAGCAGGUGAAUGAGUGAUGAAUGAAGCAGUGUUGAGCAGGUGAAUGAGUGAUGAAUGAAGCAGUGUUGAGCAGGUGAAUGAGUGAUGAAUGAAGCAGUAUUGAACAGAUGAAUGCAUGAUGAAUGAAGCAGUGUUGAGCAGGUGAAUGAGUGAUGAAUGAAGCAGUAUUGAACAGAUGAAUGCAUGAUGAAUGAAGCAGUGUUGAGCAGGUGAAUGAGUGAUGAAUGAAGCAGUAUUGAGCAGGUGAAUGAGUGAUGAAUGAAGCAGUGUUGAGCAGGUGAAUGAGUGAUAAAUGAAGCAGUGUUGAGCAGGUGAAUGAGUGAUGAAUGAAGCAGUAUUGAACAGAUGAAUGCAUGAUGAAUGAAGCAGUGUUGAGCAGGUGAAUGAGUGAUAAAUGAAGCAGUGUUGAGCAGGUGAAUGAGUGAUGAAUGAAGCAGUGUUGAGCAGGUGAAUGAGUGAUGAAUGAAGCAGUGUUGAGCAGGUGAAUGAGUGAUGAAUGAAGCUGUAUCUGUUGGCUGAUUGAAUGCUGAGAAAACUAUUACUGUGUAGUGAUAAAUAAAAACUGUAUUAGGGAGUUAUGAAAAACAGUGCU